rnacentral:lncRNA from 1 species
AGACUGCAUCAGCUACUUCAGUCUGGGCCAGGCCAGGCCAGGCUGGGCCCUGGAGAUCUCUGAAGUGAAAACCCAAGAAGGCAGGCUUGCUCUGUCUGUCUGUCUGUCCACCUGCCUGCCUGCCUGUCUCUGGUAGUUACUCCUGCUUUCGAGGCUCCUGCAGAAACAGCUAGCAGGCUGUGGGAUGAGUUCACCACUGAGAACUUCUUGGCCUGGGCUGGAGAAAGGGUCUCCUCCAAGGAAGAGACAGGUGCUAAAAGAAACAGCGCGGUGGUAAGGAGAGCAGACACUUGUUGACUUCCAGCGGUGGAGGGGACAUUUCUGAUUACUUCCCCAUGAAAUUGCUGCGUCCAUUCUCCCACCAGCUCGGAGAGUCUGGGGUUA